GCUAGCGGCAGCUUAACACAUGCAAGUCGAACGGUAACUCUUGGUGCUUGCACCAAAAGACGAGUGGCGGACGGGUGCGUAACGCGUAUGCAAUCUACCUUUUACUAGGGUAUAGCCCAGAGAAAUUUGGAUUAAUCCCCUAUAAUAUCAUGAAAUCGCAUGGUUUUAUGAUUAAAGCUUCGGUGGUAAAAGAUGAGCAUGCGUCCUAUUAGUUUGUAGGUGAGGUAACGGCUCACCUAGACUACGAUAGGUAGGGGCCCUGAGAGGGGGAUCCCCCACACUGGUACUGAGACACGGACCAGACUCCUACGGGAGGCAGCAGUGAGGAAUAUUGGACAAUGGACGAAAGUCUGAUCCAGCUAUGCCGCGUGCAGGAUGACAGCCCUACGGGUUGUAAACUGCUUUUAUACAGGAAGAAACACCCCGACGUGUCGGGGCUUGACGGUACUGUAAGAAUAAGGAUCGGCUAACUCCGUGCCAGCAGCCGCGGUAAUACGGAGGAUCCAAGCGUUAUCCGGAAUUAUUGGGUUUAAAGGGUCCGCAGGCGGUUUUUUAAGUCAGAGGUGAAAUCCUACAGCUCAACUGUAGAAUUGCCUUUGAAACUGAAAGACUUGAGUUAUUGUGAAGUGGUUAGAAUGUGUGGUGUAGCGGUGAAAUGCAUAGAUAUCACACAGAAUACCAAUUGCGAAGGCAGAUCACUAACAAUUAACUGACGCUCAGGGACGAAAGCGUGGGUAGCGAACAGGAUUAGAUACCCUGGUAGUCCACGCCGUAAACGAUGGAUACUAGCUGUAUGUCUACCUCAGGUAGAUGUGUGGCCAAGCGAAAGUGAUAAGUAUCCCACCUGGGGAGUACGAU
rnacentral:rRNA from 1 species